rnacentral:lncRNA from 1 species
AAGCACUUUUUGAAGGGAACACAGAAAGUAAAACCAGGUAUUUCUAAACAUAAUUUAAUAACUUUUUUCAUACAUUACAUCUUCCCUAGAAAUCCCCAGUUCUAUUGGAUUAUUUCCAGUCCUUUUUGACCUACAAGUUGAGCAGCACAAAGCAGGUUUUACAUCACAAUAAUGGAGAAACUAUCUGCUGAUAUUGGUUGGUUGAAUGCCACAAAGGGGCAGACAGAAAGACUCCUUGAAAUGAGGAAAGAAAAAUAGGAUCAAUAUGCCAUAGUCUCUUCCCCCUGCAGUGAGCAUUUGCAUGGAUAAUACCUAUGAAUUCUAAUGUGAGCUACACAUUGUGUGAAACAAUGUCGCUAUUUAAAAAAAUGCAUCUGAGAGCCUGUUCAGGAGACUGAUUUCUGUUUAGUAAAUGGAGAAAAAUAUUGUGCAAAAAGAAAGUUCUUUAGUCUUAGAAAUGUUUUAUAAUAAAAUGAAAUGAAAUUUUGUUUUCA